rnacentral:rRNA from 1 species
AUCAUGUUGUUUAAUUUACGAUGAUUACGCGAAGAACCUUACCAGGUCUUGACAUCCCUUGCAAAGCUAUGGAGACAUAGUGGAGGUUAUCAAGGAGACAGGUGGUGCAUGGUUGUCGUCAGCUCGUGUCGUGAGAUGUUGGGUUAAGUCCCGCAACGAGCGCAACCCUAUUGCUAGUUACCAUCAUUCAUUGGGGACUCUAGCGAGACUGCCAGUGAUAAACUGGAGGAAGUGGGGAUGACGUCAAAUCAUCAUGCCCCUUAUGACCUGGGCUACAAACGUGAUACAAUGGCUGAAACAAAGGGCAGCGAAGCAGUGAUGUGGAGCGAAACCCAAAAAGCAGUCUCAGUUCGGAUUGAAGUCUGCAACUCGACUCCAUGAAGUUGGAAUCGCUAGUAAUCGCGGAUCAGCACGCCGCGGUGAAUACGUUCCCGGGCCUU